rnacentral:lncRNA from 1 species
AGCAAGUAUUGUGGCUAUGUGGAAUAGUUUUCUAUCUCCAGUGAUUUGCACUGUCCGACACAUGAUAGGCAAUCAAUAAAUAUGUGCUGAAUAAUGUAAUGAGUUUUUAAAAUACAUCUUUAAAGAAUAACCUGGGAGCCUGAAGGAAACAAUUCAUUUUCCAGAAUCAAAACUCAUGAUUGUGAUAGUACGCUGGGGUUACUCUCAAGGAAAGUAAUAUCUGGUGAUAAUUUAGUUGAAUUUGCAGUACUAUCAGUGAGAUACACGAU